rnacentral:rRNA from 1 species
UACGGAGGGUGCGAGCGUUGUCCGGAAUCACUGGGCGUAAAGGGUGCGUAGGCGGGUCUUUUAAGUCAGAGGUGAAAGCCCAGGGCUCAACCCUGGAAUUGCCUUUGAUACUGGCUGUCUUGAGUGCGGGAGAGGUGUGUGGAACUCCGAGUGUAGAGGUGAAAUUCGUAGAUAUUCGGAAGAACACCAGUGGCGAAGGCGACACACUGGCCCGUAACUGACGCUGAGGCGCGAAAGCGUGGGGAGCAAACAGG